rnacentral:rRNA from 1 species
GUCGACGUUUUGGGGGCUAGGGAGUGGGAGAGGUAGACGGUACUCGGGAGGAAGUGGUAAAAUGCUUUGAUCUCUCGAUGACCACCUGUGGCGAAGGCGGUCUACCAGAACACGUCCGACGGUGAGGGAUGAAAGCUGGGGGAGCAAACCGGAUUAGAUACCCGGGUAGUCCCAGCUGUAAACUAUGCAAACUCAGUGAUGCAUUGGCUUGUGGCCAAUGCAGUGUUGCAGGGAAGCCGUUAAGUUUGCCGCCUGGGAAGUACGUACGCAAGUAUGAAACUUAAAGGAAUUGGCGGGGGAGCACCACAAGGGGUGAAGCCUGCGGUUCAAUUGGAGUCAACGCCAGAAAUCUUACCCGGAGAGACAGCAGAAUGAAGGUCAAGCUGAAGACUUUACCAGACAAGCUGAGAGGUGGUGCAUGGCCGUCGCCAGCUCGUGCCGUGAGGUGUCCUGUUAAGUCAGGUAACGAGCGAGAUCCCUACCUCUAGUUGCCACCAUUACUCUCAGGAGUAGUGGGGCGAAUUAGCGGGACUGCCGCAGUUAAUGCGGAGGAAGGAGGGGGCCACGGCAGGUCAGUAUGCCCCGAAAUCGUCGACCUG